CCUACGGGAGGCAGCAGUGAGGAAUAUUGGUCAAUGGGCGAGAGUCUGAACCAGCCAAGUAGCGUGAAGGAUGACUGCCCUAUGGGUUGUAAACUUCUUUUAUAUGGGAAUAAAAUGUUCCACGUGUGGGAUUUUGUAUGUACCAUAUGAAUAAGGAUCGGCUAACUCCGUGCCAGCAGCCGCGGUAAUACGGAGGAUCCGAGCGUUAUCCGGAUUUAUUGGGUUUAAAGGGAGCGUAGGUGGAUUGUUAAGUCAGUUGUGAAAGUUUGCGGCUCAACCGUAAAAUUGCAGUUGAAACUGGCAGUCUUGAGUACAGUAGAGGUGGGCGGAAUUCGUGGUGUAGCGGUGAAAUGCUGAGAUAUCACGAAGAACUCCGAUUGCGAAGGCAGUUCACUGGACUGCAACUGACACUGAGGCUCGAAAGUGUGGGUAUCAAACAGGAUUAGAUACCCCAGUAGUC
rnacentral:rRNA from 1 species